rnacentral:rRNA from 1 species
AGAGUUUGAUCCUGGCUCAGGACGAACGAACGCUGGCGGCGUGCUUAACACAUGCAAGUCGAACGAUGAAGCCCUUCGGGGUGGAUUAGUGGCGAACGGGUGAGUAACACGUGGGCAAUCUGCCCUUCACUCUGGGACAAGCCCUGGAAACGAGGUCUAAUACCGGAUAUGACCGUGGAAGGCAUGCUCUGUGGUGGAAAGCUCCGGCGGUUCAGGAUGAUGCGCGGCCUAUCAGCUUGUUGGUGGGGUAACGGCUGUCCCUGCUGAAGACGGGUAGCCGGCCACCGAGGGCGUUCGGCCCCACUAGGACUGAGACGCGGCCCAGACUCAUACAGGAUUCAGCAGUGGGGAAUAUUGCACAAUGGGCGAAAGCCUGAUGCAGCGACGCCGCGUGAGGGAUGACGGCCUUCGGGUUGUAAACCUCUUUCCGCAUAUAAGAAG